CCUACGGGGGGCAGCAGUGAGGAAUAUUGGUCAAUGGGCGAGAGCCUGAACCAGCCAAGUCGCGUGAAGGAUGACGGCCCUACGGGUUGUAAACUUCUUUUGUCAGGGAGCAAUUCACUCCACGUGUGGGCUUUGCGAGAGUCCCUGAAGAAAAAGCAUCGGCUAACCCCGUACCAGCAGCCGCGGUAAUACGGAGGAUGCGAGCUUUAUCGGGUUUUAUUGGGUUAAAGGGGUGCGUAGGCGGAAUAUCAAGUCAGCGGUAAAAAUUCGGGGCUCAACCCCGUCGUGCCGUUGAAACUGAUGUUCUUGAGUGGGCGAGAAGUAUGCGGAAUGCGUGGUGUAGCGGUGAAAUGCAUAGAUAUCACGCAGAACUCCGAUUGCGAAGGCAGCAUACCGGCGCCCAACUGACGCUGAAGCACGAAAGCGUGGGUAUCGAACAGGAUUAGAUACCCCAGUAGUC
rnacentral:rRNA from 1 species